rnacentral:lncRNA from 1 species
AUGAUUAAAACCUCACGAUCUAAGCUUAUAGAUUUGAGAUGAAGCAUAAUUUCCUCUCCCUUAAUUAUAGCAAAACAACUUUUUCCCAAUUGAAACUUUUGUUUUCUAUAAUUAACAUUGCUAACUUGCAAUACUUAUCAUAAUUAUCAUGCUCCCACUAACAUGAUGAUUAUUAGCAUAACACUUAUGCUCCCACUAGCUUUGACAUGUACUCAGAAAUCAGUUGACUUUCUUACCAAAGUUCAGAUUUCUGAUACUAGAUUGUUUUGAUAAAACUUUAUCAAAAUCAUACACCUUCCCUUAGAUAGCUCAUAGGUGUGUCUAAACAAUUAUGAAGAGGGAUGCCGUAAUCAUAAUGGUUAGACCUUUUUGCCACUUCUCACAAGUCCAGGUUAGUGUGCCGGUUAACCACACACGCUCCACUAAUGACUUUGAGAAUGCAAAUAUCACAAUUGCUAUCUAGCUAAAAUCUACUUAGUGAAAGUGUAUCCUCACCAUCAUUUUCAUGAAUCAGAGAGAAACCUUACGAAACUUAGGUUUAAUGGUGUAUGUAUUCUUAUCCAUGUGAAUUGUCAAAACCAUAAUCACAAGACUAGGUUAGUGACAAAUCCUAACUCAUAUGGAUUGAACUUGUGCAAUCUUAAUUUCUUGCCACCUGGUAGCUCAAGGGCCUGCCAUUGCUUCCAAGUUGUUGUGCAACCAAUUGAGAACUCUAAGAACUCAUAUGCAAAUCCAACUUUAAUCGGAAUGGGCACAAAAUAUGUCAACACGAUAGGUUAUAAACCUCAAGUCGUGUGCUAGUGAAGAACUUCAGGUUUUAUUCUUGAUUAGUUCUUGAGACUUUCAAGUACCUUUAAGACUCCCACUGUCCUCUUGACAUAUAAGACUCUCUUGUCAAAUAUUCAAGAGGUAGUGUGGAUUCUAAUGAAGACAAACACUUUCACAAAAUUGUUCUUGAGACUUUCAAGUACCUUUAAGACUCCCACUGUCCUCUUGACAUAUAAGACUCUCUUGUCAAAUAUUCAAGAGGUAGUGUGGAUUCUAAUCAAGACAAAAACUUUCACAAAAUUGGCCUAAGUUGGUCUUUGUUUUAUCCAAAACAUCACAACUUACCAAUUUCAAAUGUACAAGAGUAGGAAACUUUUACUCUUACAUUUGACAAGUGUUUUAAACCUUUUUGGAACGAAGUAUGAGUCAUCUUCUUGAUUUAACCAUUUCAACAAUUCAAGUUCCUCUUCUUAGUCAUAAGAAUGCACUAAGUUUUCCUUAGAGAACUAAUAUUGAUAUGGUUUCAUAAUCAUUAAGAUGAUCACAAACAGGAUACUAAAGUACUCUCCCAUCUUUUCAGAUUUGAGAAACUUUUAUCUUUCUGCCUAAGUUGAUUCUUCUUAUUCGUUCUGCCUUACAUUGGAACCUUUUCCAAUGUCUCAAAGUUACACUUAAGCUUGUAAGUAUAACCAUAUUUACUGAACUUAAGUAAAUCAUGACGAAUAAUCUUAUCGAUCUUUUGUGGUGGACUUGACCAGUGCACCAGAAUGUGUACUCGAUCCCUUAGUCCUUUACAUGACUCACACAUCCAUGUGAACAAGUAAUUAGUCUUAAUUUUCCAAUACUUGAAAAAGUUCACCAUUCCUCUUAUUUCUUCGUCUUUCUUGAUAUGUUGUAAUCAAUCGAUCAAACAAAUCUUUGUUUUGAUAAAUUCGAUAACCAAUGAAAUUUCCCAUUCCAUCCCUUUCUCCAUUUGACAUAAGUGCAUCUUCACUUUGCAAUCCAACAGUCAUUCGAUAAAGAAUGCAUUCAAAAG